AGAGGCCCAGGCCGAGGGAGCAGCAGGCCCCACGCAGGGAGCCCGAGGCGGACUCGAUCCGGGGACCUGGGGUCACGGCCUGGGCCGCAGGUGGUGCUCCCCCCCUGAGCCCCCGGGAUCCCCUAAGUGUGCGAUGGUUACGCAGCAGUGGAAAAGCCACGCAUGUCCCUUGAGCACGAGCACAGUCCCGUCCCUGCUGCACCAGGAGCAAACCUACCGCCCGAGCACCCGAAUGCACGAGGAGCACCCCCUGACCAGUCACAUGCGGAUUCGGAUUCUGCAGAUGAGACGAAGAAGGCCUCGAUGCAGCCGGUGAGCCCAGGAGCGGGGCGCCCGGCCGGCCUAGGCGGCCUCCGGUGGGCAGGUCCCCGACAGAUUGUUCAGGGUCAGGCCGAAGGCCUGUCGCCAGGAGACGAAGGUCCCGCCUUGGCCUCUGGGUCACGGGCCCGAGCGAGCGCCAACCUCAGGAUGGCCUUUACCUCCGUGGACGUCCGUUGUGCCAGCUGAGCACUGAGCGAGCCGCGGCCGGCCAGGCUGACCCUCCACCCCGCCGCCCCGGACGACACUCGGAGCCUCUGGUUUGCCUUCGCCGGCAGCGACCCGCUGCCACAGGCUCCCUUGCACACCCUGGACUCCGCUCCGAACCUUGAUGGUCACACGAGCCCCGUGUCUAUUUUUCAGGUCCUUCCCUUGGGACCCCUGAUUUUCUGUCUUAUCAGGACGACCCUGCAAGCAAACCCUUCGACUCCCCAUAACUCACAUGCGCAGCUGCUUGAACUUCUUGAUUUUCGUCCAUACCUGGGCUUGCAGCGGAAUAAUCUGGGACAAUUUUUAAAAAUGCGUUUGUUUCUGGCUACGGAGGAAAACGGCCAAGCCUACGCCCUACGAAACUGUUCACAAACACAGCCGAUACCCCUUAUUUCUACCCCCAGGCCUUUCACAAUGUUUUACGAUGGUGGUUACAACCCUACAGCGCUUUAUAUUCGCAGGAUAACUGCAUACGCCACUGCUACUGAAGAGUCCGAGAGGAAUUGUGUACACAAACCACAUUUUCUUUAUCCAUUCAUCUUUCGAUGGACACCGAAAUGACAAAUACCCGCCAUUUGCUUCAACGCGCAUGGACCUGGAGGAAUGGAUGGAAUUUUUCACCUAACAGCUGAUCGAGUGAGAGGCCCGGCACCCAUCGCUGCGUCUUCACCUACUCGAGUCCCAGUGGACUGGAAGUCUGCUGACACGGGAUCUACGUCUUCCCUCUCCCAUUUUCCAAAGGCUAGAGCAAGCGCCGCCAUUUCUCAUCUGCAAAACUGGAAUAGUCUAUUUCCUUCCCAACUGAAUUAAAUAAUUUUACUGGCCGGGGCUCCUGGGUGGCCCAGUUGGUUAAGCAUCUGACUCUUGAUUUUGGCUCAUGACGUCAGGAUCUUGAGAUCAAGCCCCACAUCAGGUUCC